rnacentral:misc_RNA from 1 species
GCCAAGGAAUAUACACCGUUUUAGUCUUUAAAAAAAAGUUUCUUUCAACGAUAUUUUAUUAACGAUUGUGAUUAUCGAUUAAAGAAAAUUAGAGUUUCAAUUUAGAUUGCACUUCAAGUAUUCUGACUUUGAUCAUGACCUUGGACUUAAAAAUCAAAGAAGAUCAUUGUGAUUUAUUUUAAGAUGUCAUUGCAAGAAGUGUAUGCCUUUUGUGAAACUCAACGGCUAAUUGCGAUGUCGUUUCGAAACUACAAAAUUACACACAGUCAGGAUGAAAGAAGAAACAAAAGAACAAACGAUUGCCUCACUGACUCAAAGAAGGUCUCCAUUUGAUAGUGAAAGCGGCAAUUAUGAUUUAUAUAUCAACAUCAGUGAAUAUUCAAAAUGUGCAAUAUGAUCUGUGUAUGCUAUAGUAGAUAUUACAUUAUUAUUUCAAUUCAUUCAAAGUGCUAAUGAGUGUAAACGACCAAUGUAAAUAAUUAUAGAUGUCAUAACGAAAAAACGGCAUUUUGAUCAUCUAUUGGUUUUUACAUUGAUUGUAAAAUUGAAAGUGUAUCUACAUGUACCUGCUAUAUAAUGAAUAUGCCCAGUUAUAUAAUGUUUGUAUAGUAUAAAUACUUUUUAAAUGUUUUACUGAAUAUUUAAAAACAGCUUUCUAUUAAUGAUAUAAAAAAUAAAAACAAUUCAUAUAUACC